rnacentral:rRNA from 1 species
GACGAACGCUGGCGGCGUGCCUAAUACAUGCAAGUAGAACGCACAGUUUAUACCGUAGCUUGCUACACCAUAGACUGUGAGUUGCGAACGGGUGAGUAACGCGUAGGUAACCUGCCUGGUAGCGGGGGAUAACUAUUGGAAACGAUAGCUAAUACCGCAUAAUAUUAAUUAUUGCAUGAUAAUUAAUUGAAAGGUGCAAUUGCACCACUACCAGAUGGACCUGCGUUGUAUUAGCUAGUAGGUGAGGUAACGGCUCACCUAGGCGACGAUACAUAGCCGACCUGAGAGGGUGAUCGGCCACACUGGGACUGAGACACGGCCCAGACUCCUACGGGAGGCAGCAGUAGGGAAUCUUCGGCAAUGGACGAAAGUCUGACCGAGCAACGCCGCGUGAGUGAAGAAGGGUUUCGGAUCGUAAAGCUCUGUUGUAAGAGAAGAACGGGUGUGAGAGUGGAAAGUUCACACUGUGACGGUAUCUGACCAGAAAGGGACGGCUAACUACGUG